rnacentral:rRNA from 1 species
UACGGAGGGUGCAAGCGUUAUCCGGAUUCACUGGGCUUAAAGGGUGCGUAGGCGGGCAGGUAAGUCAGUGGUGAAAUCUCCGGGCUUAACCCGGAAACUGCCGUUGAUACUAUCUGUCUUGAAUAUCGUGGAGGUGAGCGGAAUAUGUCAUGUAGCGGUGAAAUGCUUAGAUAUGACAUAGAACAUCAAUUGCGAAGGCAGCUCGCUGCACGGUUAUUGACACUGAGGCACGAAAGCGUGGGGAGCAAACAGG